rnacentral:lncRNA from 1 species
UCUCUCUUCCUCUCUCUCUCCCUCCUGACCACAAAAGAAAAUAAUCAUUGAGUUUCUCCUUUUUUUAUAAACACUCCCUCCCCUUCCAGUAGUCUCCAAAUAGGGGCACAGACUUUCAGGUUCUCAAACUUUGCUGGAAGAAGUGAAAAGAAGUUUAGGGCAGGCUGAUUAUGUGUGCUCCACUUCUCUGCCUCUGAAUGGCAAAGCAGAGAACAGAGCUGUGAACGUUUUGACCAGACACAUGGCUCUACCUUGUGACAUGCCAGAAGAUUCUGAUGAGCUCAGAGUUUUGCAACAGUGGUGAUUGUGUGGAAAAUCCUGUCCAGUUCCGCACGGCUAAAGAGAGACCUUAUAUUUAUCAUCGUUUUGGUUCUUCCUCUCCAUCACUCACUAAGAUCUGGUCAUUAUGAAGCUGUGCUGGACACUUUUCUCAUGGCUUCUCACACUGCUAGUGAUGCCAGUUUACAGUCAGAGCGGUGAUGAUGGAGAAGUGGGAUCCGGUGACAUUUCUGGGCCUUUGGUCAAUGGCAGUUCCUCAGCCUCAAUCCUCCAUGCGGUCGGUGACGAGCCAGACAAGAACAGGCCGCUUUUUCAGACUCUUCCAGAGACGGAGAGCGGCGACUGUUAUGUCAAUUUCCACACCAGCCAAGUGAUGUCACGGCGGUUACGAGCUUUUAGAGAGGAGGUUUCAUAUCUAAAGGCCAUCCAGCAUGGGAACCAGGCAGUGAUGGAGAAUCUGGUCCAAUUUGUAGGAGCAGAAAUGGGGGAUCAGCGAUACGAAGAGGUGAUCCAAGAGAACAUUGUCGGGAUCAGGGAGGAUCAUGGGAGCUGUGGGAGUGUGGUGACGAAAGCAGCAGAGGAGAUGGAGAAUCAGCUGGAAGGAGACGCUCAGGCCACUCUGGCUGGAAUUCAGAAAAUAAAAGAAGAGUCUCUUGCCUUUGAAGAACUGUUGCGUGCCGCCUCGGACAUCGCUACUCGACUGGAGAGCACAUCACGAGCCCUGCAUGUGGAGAUGAUGGAACAGCUGAAGAAGAACACCAGACAGCGCGCUGAGCUAAAUGAAGCCAUCCGAGCUGGAAAAAUACGAUAAAAGUGUUAAAUGGCAUGUCACAACCUCAUUUAUGCAUAUUGUUUUAAUAGCAAUGCUGUCACAUUAUAGAGUCCCAUACAUGGAUGUUUCUAAAUAAUGCCCAGCAGGCACAGGACAUAAACAUGAUGUCAGAUUGACGUUAUACCCCAAUGUCGUGGGG